rnacentral:rRNA from 1 species
ACUUCGGUACAUCGGUGACAGGUGGUGCAUGGUUGUCGUCAGCUCGUGUCGUGAGAUGUUGGGUUAAGUCCCGCAACGAGCGCAACCCCUAUUGUUAGUUGCCAUCAUUCAGUUGGGCACUCUAGCGAGACUGCCGGUAAUAAACCGGAGGAAGGUGGGAUGACGUCAAAUCAUCAUGCCCCUUAUGACCUGGGCUACACACGUGCUACAAUGGUUGGUACAACGAGUUGCGAGUCGGUGACGGCGAGCUAAUCUCUUAAAGCCAAUCUCAGUUCGGAUUGUAGGCUGCAACUCGCCUACAUGAAGAUGGAGUUGCUAGUAACCGCAGGUCAGCAAUACUGCGGUGAAUACGUUCCCGGGUCUU